GCGAGGGUGGUGGAACUGGUAGACACGCUGGAUUUAGGAUCCAGUGGGUAACUCCAUGCGGGUUCGAGUCCCGCCCUUCGCACCA
rnacentral:tRNA from 1 species